rnacentral:rRNA from 1 species
GAGUUUGAUCGUGGCUCAGAUUGAACGCUGGCGGCAGGCCUAACACAUGCAAGUCGAGCGGAUGAAGGGAGCUUGCUCCUGGAUUCAGCGGCGGACGGGUGAGUAAUGCCUAGGAAACUGCCUGGUAGUGGGGGAUAACGUCCGGAAACGGGCGCUAAUACCGCAUACGUCCUGAGGGAGAAAGUGGGGGAUCUUCGGACCUCACGCUAUCAGAUGAGCCUAGGUCGGAUUAGCUAGUUGGUGGGGUAAAGGCCUACCAAGGCGACGAUCCGUAACUGGUCUGAGAGGAUGAUCAGUCACACUGGAACUGAGACACGGUCCAGACUCCUACGGGAGGCAGCAGUGGGGAAUAUUGGACAAUGGGCGAAAGCCUGAUCCAGCCAUGCCGCGUGUGUGAAGAAGGUCUUCGGAUUGUAAAGCACUUUAAGUUGGGAGGAAGGGCAGUAAGUUAAUACCUUGCUGUUUUGACGUUACCAACAGAAUAAGCACCGGCUAACUUCGUGCCAGCAGCCGCCGCGGU